AGGCAGACGCCUAACGACUGAGCCACCCAGGCGCCCCUGGUCUCCUGUGCCGCCCCGUGGCACUACAAAAACCAAGCUGCGUCAUCCCGUCAGUGUCCUCCAGAGCCGCCAGAGGGGGCUAAGUGUCCGGUGUCCCCUGGAUCCCGAUACCAGGACAUUCUCCAUCUUCUCUCCUCUUGGGGGCCGUUCUCCGCUGACUGCUGUCUGCUGACCCGGCCCCGCUGUCUCUUGCCCCUCCCGCUUAGCUGUGGCCUCGCCGGGCUUUGCGUGGGCCAGGCUGACUGGGGCGGGGCGGGGUGUCAGCGCCCCAUCUGCCUCCACACUCACCAGCAACGUUUCUUACCUUACUGGGAGGAAAAGCUGUUCUUCCACCUGUCCUAAGGCUGACCCUGCGUUCUGAGCACCUCGUACUGUGUUCCGUAACUGACUUUCUCCCCCUCCCUGCACUCCUGAUCUCCCAGAAGUCUCUUCAGGACACCGAUGCUGCAUCUCUCUGGUUUGCGGCGGGAGGUGAGAAAGAAUGAUUGGGUGGUCAUCCAGUGGGGUUGGCAAGAUGGUGGGACGAUCCCAGGACUUCUGGCCUGACCCUGGACGGCUGUAGAGCCUGCAGCUGAGCUGAGGAAGGUGGUGAGGGAGCAGAUUCCGAGGGGAGGCUCGGAACCUCCACUCUGGCCAUGUUAGACCUGCGGGGGACAGGUUGCCGGGUGGGAAGAGGUACAAGUUCAGGAAUGCAGGGGUCAAGACAGGUGUCUUCAGCCCCUAGAUGGCACUGAAAACCCUGAGGCCAAGGGAGAGCUACCGGAAGCGUGGUGGACGAUAGGGGGGAGGAGCCCGAGCACAGAGCUGGGACACGCCGAUGCCCGGGCGCCGGGGAGAGGAGAACCGCCAAGGAGGCUGGAAAGAAGGGCCCCAACCGUCGUGAGCAGCAAACCCCGGAGGGCGUCGCAUCCUGGCCUUCCGGUGCAGGACCCGAGGGGAUCCAUGGGGUUGUGUUGCUGAUCCCAGCAGGAAGGCGGUGAGCUUGGACCCGACCCCCGUGCAGACCGGGCUGACGGCGCCCCCCUGCUCCCUGCCCGCAGGCCUGUCCUCCGUGUGCACACCCCCGGGGGCCCGAGGCCGCGGCGCCGCUCUGGCUCCCUCCACUUGACCAUCAUACCGGCAUAGAACUGAUUGUGAUCCUCGGAUGCAUCUUGGACACGUGAAGCUUCCUUUUUCAAUCUCCUUCCCCUCCCCCG